rnacentral:rRNA from 1 species
GAGUAAUGCGUGACCAACCUGCCCCAUGCUCCAGAAUAGCUCUUGGAAACGGGUGGUAAUGCUGGAUGCUCCAACUUGACGCAUGUCUUGUUUGGAAAGUGUUUAGUGGCAUGGGAUGGGGUCGCGUCCUAUCAGCUUGUAGGCGGGGUAAUGGCCCACCUAGGCUUCGACGGGUAGCCGGCCUGAGAGGGCGGACGGCCACAUUGGGACUGAGAUACGGCCCAGACUCCUACGGGAGGCAGCAGUA